rnacentral:pre_miRNA from 1 species
AGCUUUUUGAAUCCGUGCUGAGAUUUCGUCAGACACCGAACCAUUAGGACUGAUCAGACUCACAAUUGAUUGAUCACUGAGUG